rnacentral:rRNA from 1 species
AGCAGCCGCGGUAAUUCCAGCUCCAAUAGCGUAUAUUAAAGUUGUUGCAGUUAAAAAGCUCGUAGUUGAAUUUCGGGAUCAAGGAAUCGGUCAUGCCUCGGUAUGUACUGGUUUUAUUGGUUCUCACCUUCUAAAGAAACAUAAUGUCAUUCAUUUGAUGUUAUGGGGAAUUAGGACUGUUACCUUGAAAAAAUUAGAGUGUUUAAAGCAGGCUUACGCUUGAAUACAUUAGCAUGGAAUAAUGAAAUAGGACAUCAGAUUCUAUUUUGUUGGUUUCUAGGAUCGAUGUAAUGAUUAAUAGGGAUAGUUGGGGGCAUUAGUAUUCAAUUGUCAGAGGUGAAAUUCUUGGAUUUAUUGAAGACUAACUACUGCAAAAGCAUUUGCCAAGGAUGUUUUCAUUAAUCAAGAACGAAAGUUAGGGGAUCGAAGACGAUCAGAUACCGUCGUAGUUUUAACCAUAAACUAUGCCGACUAGGAAUCGGACGAAGUUAAUUUUUAAUGUACUCGUUCGGCGCCUUA